UACGGGGGGGGCAAGCGUUGGUUCGGAAUUACUGGGCGUAAAGGGCGCGUAGGCGGCCUGCUAAGUCGGAUGUGAAAUCCCUCGGCUUAACCGAGGAACUGCAUCCGAUACUGGCGGGCUUGAAUCCGGGAGAGGGAUGUGGAAUUCCAGGUGUAGCGGUGAAAUGCGUAGAUAUCUGGAGGAAGACCGGUGGCGAAGGCGGCAUCCUGGACCGGUAGUUGACGCUGAGGCGCGAAA
rnacentral:rRNA from 1 species